rnacentral:rRNA from 1 species
CCUACGGGAGGCAGCAGUGAGGAAUAUUGGUCAAUGGGCUUACGCCUGAACCAGCCAAGUCGCGUGAGGGAAGACUGCCCUAUGGGUUGUAAACCUCUUUUGUCAGGGAGCAAGUGGCGCUACGUGUAGCGUUAUCGAGAGUACCUGAAGAAAAAGCAGCGGCUAACUCCGUGCCAGCAGCCGCGGUAAUACGGAGGAUGCGAGCGUUAUCCGGAUUUAUUGGGUUGAAAGGGUGCGUAGGCGGAAUGCCAAGUCAGCGGUAAAAUCGCGGGGCUCAACCUCGCUCCGCCGUUGAAACUGGCGUUCUUGAGUGGGCGAGAAGUAUGCGGAAUGCGUGGUGUAGCGG